UACAGGGGGGGCAAGCGUUGUUCGGAAUUACUGGGCGUAAAGGGUUCGUAGGUGGCCAACUUAGUCAGACGUGAAAUCCCUCAGCUUAACUGGGGAACUGCGUCUGAUACUGGAUGGCUUGAGUGCAGGAGAGGAACGCGGAAUUCCAGGUGUAGCGGUGAAAUGCGUAGAUAUCGGGAGGAACACCAGUGGCGAAGGCGCGUUUCUGGGCUGCAUCUGACGCUGAGGCGCGAAAGCUAGGGGAGCAAACAGG
rnacentral:rRNA from 1 species